rnacentral:misc_RNA from 1 species
AAGACUAUAGACCUGCGGAGUACCUGCGGAAGGAUCAUUACAUGAUUUGAGGGGGCUCACGUCCCCUCAUCCAACCCACAAACCCCGAGGAACUUUUAUGUCGAGUGGUUCGGCGCUCUCUUUGAGAGCCGCCCCUCAAACGCAUCGCAGGCUUUUCGUGAAGGUCUGAUGUGUCACAUCGUGAGUAUUAAAACUUUCAGCAAUGGAUCUCU